rnacentral:rRNA from 1 species
AACGAACGCUGGCGGCAUGCCUAACACAUGCAAGUCGAACGAGACCUUCGGGUCUAGUGGCGCACGGGUGCGUAACGCGUGGGAACCUGCCCUUAGGUUCGGAAUAACUCCCCGAAAGGGGUGCUAAUACCGGAUAAUGUCUUCGGACCAAAGAUUUAUCGCCUUUGGAUGGGCCCGCGUUGGAUUAGCUAGUUGGUAGGGUAAAAGCCUACCAAGUCGACGAUCCAUAGCUGGUCUGAGAGGAUGAUCAGCCACACUGGGACUGAGACACGGCCCAGACUCCUACGGGAGGCAGCAGUGGGGAAUAUUGGACAAUGGGCGAAAGCCUGAUCCAGCAAUGCCGCGUGAGUGAUGAAGGCCUUAGGGUUGUAAAGCUCUUUUACCCGGGAUGAUAAUGACAGUACCGGGAGAAUAAGCUCCGGCUAACUCCGU